rnacentral:tRNA from 1 species
GCCUGGGUGGCUCAGUCGGUUGAGCAUCCGACUUCGGCUCAGGUCAUGAUCUCACGGUUUGUGGGUUCAAGCCCCGCGUUGGGCU